AUUGAACGCUGGCGGCAGGCCUAACACAUGCAAGUCGAACGAGUGGCGGACGGGUGAGUAAUGUCUGGGGAACUGCCCGAUGGAGGGGGAUAACUACUGGAAACGGUAGCUAAUACCGCAUACCAUCGGAUGUACCCAUAUGGGAUUAGCUAGUAGGUGGGGUAACGGCUCACCUAGGCGACGAUCCCUAGCUGGUCUGAGAGGAUGACCAGCCACACUGGAACUGAGACACGGCCCAGACUCCUACGGGAGGCAGCAGUGGGGAAUAUUGCACAAUGGGCGCAAGCCUGAUGCAGCCAUGCCGCGUGUAUGAAGAAGGCCUUCGGGUUGUAAAGUACUUUCAGCGAGGAGGCGUUACUCGCAGAAGAAGCACCGGCUAACUCCGUGCCAGCAGCCGCGGUAAUAC
rnacentral:rRNA from 1 species